rnacentral:rRNA from 1 species
GCUUGUGGGGUUGGAUGGGCCCGCGGUCCAUCAGCUAGUUGGUGAGGUAAUGGCUCACCAAGGCAACGACGGAUAGCUGGUCUGAGAGGAUGAUCAGCCACACUGGAACUGAGACACGGUCCAGACUCCGUACGGGAGGCAGCAGUGGGGAAUCUUGCGCAAUGGACGAAAGUCUGACGCAGCGACGCCGCGUGGGUGACGAAGGCCUUCGGGUUGUAAAGCCCUGUGGGGCGAGACGAACAGCUUCUGGUCGAACAGGCCAGGGGUUUGACGGUAUCGCCUUAGCAAGCACCGGCUAACUCUGUGCCAGCAGCCGCGGUAAUACAGAGGGUGCAAACGUUGCUCGGAAUUACUGGGCGUAAAGCGCGUGUAGGCGGUUUUAUAAGUCCGACGUGAAAGCCCGGGGCUCAACCCCGGAAGUGCGCUGGAUACUGUGAAGCUGGAGUCCUGAAGAGGAGAGCGGAAUUCCCGGUGUAGAGGUGAAAUUCGUAGAUAUCGGGAG